rnacentral:rRNA from 1 species
GACGAACGCUGGCGGCGUGCUUAACACAUGCAAGUCGAACGGAAAGGCCCUGCUUUUGUGGGGUGCUCGAGUGGCGAACGGGUGAGUAACACGUGAGUAACCUGCCCUUGACUUUGGGAUAACUUCAGGAAACUGGGGCUAAUACCGGAUAGGAGCUCCUGCUGCAUGGUGGGGGUUGGAAAGUUUCGGCGGUUGGGGAUGGACUCGCGGCUUAUCAGCUUGUUGGUGGGGUAGUGGCUUACCAAGGCUUUGACGGGUAGCCGGCCUGAGAGGGUGACCGGCCACAUUGGGACUGAGAUACGGCCCAGACUCCUCCGGGAGGCAGCAGUGGGGAAUAUUGCACAAUGGGCGGAAGCCUGAUGCAGAAACGCCGCGUGCGGGAUGACGGCCUUCGGGUUGUAAACCGCUUUCGCCUGUGACGAAGCGUGAGUGACGGUAAUGGGUAAAGAAGCACCGGCUAACUACGUG